rnacentral:rRNA from 1 species
AUUGAACGCUGGCGGCAUGCCUUUCACAUGCAAGUCGAACGGCAGCACGGGAGCAACCCUGGUGGCGAGUGGCGAACGGGUGAGUAAUAUAUCGGAACGUGCCCAGUAGUGGGGGAUAGCCCGGCGAAAGCCGGAUUAAUACCGCAUACGACCUGAGGGUGAAAGCGGGGGAUCGCAAGACCUCGCGCUAUUGGAGCGGCCGAUAUCAGAUUAGCUAGUUGGUGGGGUAAAGGCCUACCAAGGCGACGAUCUGUAGCUGGUCUGAGAGGACGACCAGCCACACUGGGACUGAGACACGGCCCAGACUCCUACGGGAGGCAGCAGUGGGGAAUUUUGGACAAUGGGCGCAAGCCUGAUCCAGCCAUGCCGCGUGUGGGAAGAAGGCCUUCGGGUUGUAAACCACUUUUGUCAGGGAAGAAACGGCUCUUACUAAUAUUAGGAGCUAAUGACGGUACCUGAAGAAUAAGCACCGGCUAACUACGUGCCAGCAGCCGCCGUAAUAC